AUUGAACGCUGGCGGCAUGCCUUACACAUGCAAGUCGAACGGCAGCACGGGAGCAAUCCUGGUGGCGAGUGGCGAACGGGUGAGUAAUAUAUCGGAACGUGCCCAGUCGUGGGGAUAACGUAGCGAAAGCUACGCUAAUACCGCAUACGAUCUAUGGAUGAAAGCGGGGGAUCGCAAGACCUCGCGCGAUUGGAGCGGCCGAUAUCAGAUUAGGUAGUUGGUGAGGUAAAGGCUCACCAAGCCGACGAUCUGUAGCUGGUCUGAGAGGACGACCAGCCACACUGGGACUGAGACACGGCCCAGACUCCUACGGGAGGCAGCAGUGGGGAAUUUUGGGACAAUGGGCGCAAGCCUGAUCCAGCAAUGCCGCGUGCAGGAUGAAGGUCCUAUGGAUUGUAAACUGCUUUAUACAAGAAGAAACACUCCCUCGUGAGGGAACUUGACGGUACUGUAUGAAUAAGGACCGGCUAACUCCG
rnacentral:rRNA from 1 species